AGUGAACGCUGGCGGUAGGCCUAACACAUGCAAGUCGAACGGCAGCACAGUAAGAGCUUGCUCUUACGGGUUGCGAGUGGCGGACGGGUGAGGAAUACAUCGGAAUCUACUUUUUCGUGGGGGAUAACGUAGGGAAACUUACGCUAUUACCGCAUACUACCUACUGUUGAAAGCAGUGGAUCUUCUUACCUUGCGCGAUUGAAUGAGCCGAUGUCGGAUUAGCUAGUUGGCGGGGUAAAGGCCCACCAAGGGGACGAUCCGUAUCUGGUCUGAGAGGAUGAUCAGACACACUGGAACUGAGACACGGUCCAGACUCCUACGGGAGGCAGCAGUGGGGAAUAUUGGACAAUGGGCGCAAGCCUGAUCCAGCCAUACCGCGUGGGUGAAGAAGGCCUUCGGGUUGUAAAGCCCUUUUGUUGGGAAAGAAAAGAAGCAGGUUAAUACCCCGCUGUUCUGACGGUACCCAAAGAAUAAGCACCGGCUAACUUCGUG
rnacentral:rRNA from 1 species